rnacentral:rRNA from 1 species
AGUGAACGCUGGCGGUAGGCCUAACACAUGCAAGUCGAACGGCAGCACAGUAAGAGCUUGCUCUUACGGGUGGCGAGUGGCGGACGGGUGAGGAAUACAUCGGAAUCUACUUUUUCGUGGGGGAUAACGUAGGGAAACUUACGCUAAUACCGCAUACGACCUACGGGUGAGAGCAGGGGAGCUUCGGACCUUGCGCGAUUGAAUGAGCCGAUGUCGGAUUAGCUAGUUGGCGGGGUAAAGGCCCACCAAGGCGACGAUCCGUAGCUGGUCUGAGAGGAUGAUCAGCCACACUGGAACUGAGACACGGUCCAGACUCCUACGGGAGGCAGCAGUGGGGAAUAUUGGACAAUGGGCGCAAGCCUGAUCCAGCCAUACCGCGUGGGUGAAGAAGGCCUUCGGGUUGUAAAGCCCUUUUGUUGGGAAAGAAAAGCAGCAGGUUAAUACCCCGCUGUUCUGACGGUACCCAAAGAAUAAGCACCGGCUAACUUCGUG